AUACGUAGGGUGCAAGCGUUAAUCGGAAUUACUGGGCGUAAAGCGUGCGCAGGCGGUUUUGUAAGACAGUGGUGAAAUCCCCGGGCUCAACCUGGGAACUGCCAUUGUGACUGCAAUGCUGGAGUGCGGCAGAGGGGGAUGGAAUUCCGCGUGUAGCAGGGAAAUGCGUAGAUAUGCGGAGGAACACCGAUGGCGAAGGCAAUCCCCUGGGCCUGCACUGACGCUCAUGCACGAAAGCGUGGGUAGCAAACAGGAUUAGAUACCCUGGUAGUCCACGCCCUAAACGAUGUCAACUGGUUGUUGGGGAUUUAUUUUCUCAGUAACGAAGCUAACGCGUGAAGUUGACCGCCUGGGGAGUACGGCCGCAAGGUUAAAACUCAAAUGAAUUGACGGGG
rnacentral:rRNA from 1 species